UGAGGAAUCUUGCGCAAUGGGGGAAACCCUGACGCAGCAACGCCGCGUGAGUGAGGAAGGCCUUCGGGUCGUAAAGCUCUGUCAGAUGGAAAGAAAUGCAUGGGGGUUAAUAGCCUUCAUGCUUGACGGUACCAUCAGAGGAAGCACCGGCUAACUCCGUGCCAGCAGCCGCGGUAAUACGGGGGGUGCAAGCGUUGUUCGGAAUCAUUGGGCGUAAAGAGCGUGUAGGCGGCUUGAUAAGUCAGAUGUGAAAGCCCUGGGCUCAACCUGGGAAGUGCAUUUGAAACUGUCAUGCUUGAGUAGGGGAGAGGGAAGUGGAAUUCCUGGUGUAGAGGUGAAAUUCGUAGAUAUCAGGAGGAACACCGGUGGCGAAGGCGACUUCCUGGCCCUAUACUGACGCUGAGACGCGAGAGCGUGGGUAGCAAACA
rnacentral:rRNA from 1 species